rnacentral:rRNA from 1 species
UACGGGAGGCAGCAGUGGGGAAUAUUGCACAAUGGGCGAAAGCCUGAUGCAGCUAUGCCGCGUGUAUGAAGAAGGCCUUAGGGUUGUAAAGUACUUUCAUCGGGGAGGAAAAAACAAAACUAAUAAUUUUAUUUCUUGACGUUACCCGAAAAAGAAGCACCGGCUAACUCCGUGCCAGCAGCCGCGGUAAUACGGAGGGUGCUAGCGUUAAUCAGAAUUACUGGGCGUAAAGAGCACGUAGGUGGUUUUUUUAAAGUCAGAUGUGAAAUCCCUGGGCUUUAACCUAGGAACUGCAUUUUGAAACUGAAAUACUAGAGUAUCGUAGAGGGAGGUAGAAUUCUAGGUGUAGCGGUGAAAUGCGUAGAUAUCUGGAGGAUACCUGUGGCGAAAGCGGCCUCCUAAACGAAUACUGACACUGAGGGUGCGAAAGCGUGGGGAGCAAACAGGGAUUAGAUACC